UUGAGUACGAACUACGAAAUGGCCAUGAUUCUCCUGAAGGUUCAAGAACUUUCCCUUCUCCUCCCUAGAUGUCGCAGAUGAAUAAAACUCCGAAUCCCAAACUCUCUUUCCUUCUCUUCCCUUGUUUGCCUCGGAACGACUUUGAAGCAUCUGCGAGUCUGCAAGAACACGAGUUUCACACUCACUAAUUUAGAGAACCUUCAAGAGGUAAGAUUUACAUAGCUUGGACACACAUGCGUGGAACCUCUGCUUUAUCCCCUGCAAAGAACAUUCUCAAACAAAUUUAUCCUAUCAGAAGAACUUGGGUGUCAACUUCAAUCCCGAAGAAGCAAAGCAAUGAUCUUGGAGAUGGUGAGAGACCUACUAUGAAUAACAAGGCUGAGCCUGAGGUCAUUGUUGCCUUCAACAAACCGCCACUUCCACCUGUUCUUGGGCCUUUUAUUGUUAUUUCACUGCUGGAAAUGGGAUCAAGCGGCAAUGAUGACUGAAAGGUGAUUUAGCUUACUUCUAUAAACCCUAAAGUUGGAGAUGGUGUGAAGCAGCUUACCUCUCUGUCUUUAUUUGAAGGGCUUUGAUAUGGUUAUCAAAAUGUUGAGUAGGUAACCUAGUGUUUGAGAGACAAGUUUCCAGAGGUUGAUGUAGAAAUCAAGAAUUGGAUGGAUUAAAGGCUCAAAGAAUAUAUUGUAGAUAUUUAAUAGCAAAUUUAGUAUGGCAUGUGGCCUUUGUAGGAACCCUGCGGGAAUGAAUCAUCACUGAUUUCAGAAUGUAUUUUGUAUGAUAAGAGUAAAUUUUGAAAUUUCAGGGCUAGUUAACCUA